rnacentral:tRNA from 1 species
GCCGGUGUAGCUCAGGGGUAGAGUACUUCCUUGGUAAGGAAGGGGUCACGGGUUCAAAUCCCGUCAUUGGCUC